rnacentral:rRNA from 1 species
AAAGCGCAUGCAGGCGGCCUGUUAAGUCAGAUGUGAAAGCCCGGGGCUUAACCUCGGAAUUGCAUUUUGAAACUGGCAGGCUAGAGUCUUGUAGAGGGGGGUAGGAAUUUCAGGUGUAGCGGUGAAAUGCGUAGAGAUCUGAAGGAAUACCAGUGGCGAAGGCGGCCCCCUGGACAAAGACUGACGCUCAGAUGCGUAAAGCGUGGGGAGCAAACCAGGAUUAGAUACCCUCGGUAG